rnacentral:precursor_RNA from 1 species
GUUGGAGUCCCCAAUGCUAAAAGAUUAAUAGAUUGGUGAAAUCCUCAGUCUGGUAGUUGAAGUCAUCAGCUGCUAGAAAAGCGAGAACGUGGAGUUGGAGUCUCCUAUAAUUUGUAAGCGUGGGUUGGAAUCCCCUAUUAGCCAAGAUGUUAGAAUCCUCUAGAGUGAUGCAUUAAUUGCAUAAAUAAUAUAAAAAUUACAUGAUUAUCGUUAAUAAUACUAUAACAAACCAGUGACUUUUAUACUUAUUGAAAACAAUGCAAUUCACUUGUUUGGCUGUGUCGACGUAUGACCAUCAUCCUCAGCCAUCUGUACACAUUUUUCACAACAUAUUUCAAAAUUGAAAGUUUCUAAUAUAGUACAUUCGUAUAUUUCUACGAGGAAGUACAAGGUAACUCUCUUUUUUCCACAAGUUUUAGUAGUGCAAUGGAGUUUGAAUUGAGGGAGUACAACGUUGUACGAAUUGUGAACAACUAAAUAAACGUACAUUUUAGGCAAUGUACCGAAUUAACGUGUUGUAGGCGCGCUAUAUAAUAUGGAAUUUCCAUUUCCAUUGGCAUCAUCAGUCAUCAGUCAUCACCAAGUGGUUAGGAGAUUAAAGGCGGAGGAGCCCUACAGGGUCGACCUGAGAUCACAUGUGGGCGUUCUAAUGUCCGUCAAAUGUGUUCUCAGGUCGCCCCUGUGGGACUUUCCUCCACCAAACCAUCGCGGGCCAUCAGUUUGAUGAUUUUUUUGAAUAGACGAUGUAGAUCUAUCAUGGGGCCCUCACGCUUAAUGCUGGAGAUGAUCAUAGCAAAAGUCUACUGAGGUACUAAAAAAAGACUUCCACCUUAAUUAUCUUUGUUGAAAUAAUUUAUUAGAAAACCAAGAGGCCGGUCAUAACACAUUUAUCAGAAAGCAAAACUGUUUCUAGACAAUUUAAUGAUAUUAAACUAAAAUUCUUACAUCAGACUCUAAGGAAAGUAGCUCAUCUUCCCCAAUUCCCUUCCAAAUCCCACGAAUCAUCAGGUGGCCUUUACUCCGGUAGUUGCCCAGGAAUUGUGAGGGUGAUUUCAAAAUUUUCAGUUUGAUUAACAGCUUGAGCCACUAAAGAAAUUAGCUUAAUCAGUCAGUGUUUUAAGUAGAAAUUAUUAAAAUUCUUCGGCAGGAACUCCGAACUUCGUAAAUAUAUCAUUCCAUCAUAAUGUACUUUUAGACCUUGCUUUUCCAAUUUUCUGGCUACUUUGUCGUCUUUCUUAUUGAGCAGCUCUUGACGAGAUCCUUUCUUUGGAAAGAUGAUGCAGGUAGCAAAGGACGUGGUAUAAGUUGGGUUGAAAUAUUCUUCGUUGUCCAAUAAACAAAAAUAUAUAUUUAUUUUUAGAUCAAGGAAGGGACAGAAUUAAAAAUGAGCGGCAAAGGAGACCAACCAAAUCUAGAAGACCGUGUGGGUUCCAAACUCAGAAUUAUAUAAACUCAUUUUUUACUUUUCAAAAGAACGCAGGUUACGCAGCUCACUUUUGACAAUUCCUUGCUUACUUGAACUAUAAAUAAGUGCUGCGUACUUCUCCAUAGUUUUAUCCAAACAACAUCCUCAUAAUUUCUUCCUACCGAAAAUGUCUUCCUCACUUUUCACUUUCUCGAUCUACCUCCUAACAUUUGCUCUCGUUGCACAAACCAUUUUUGGAGGCAGCUCAUAUCUCUACCAUGUCUGUUCAAGGUCUGAGAACUUCACCACCAAUGACCCUUAUGAAUCAAACCUGAGAAAUCUCUUGGGUAAUCUUUACUACCAAACCCCUCGCCAGGGCUUUGGUCU